rnacentral:rRNA from 1 species
AUUCCAGCUCCAAUAGCGUAUACUAAAGUUGUUGCAGUUAAAAAGCUCGUAGUUGAAUUUCUGGUCGUGAAAAGUGGUCCGUUCCGCAAGGAAUGUGUACUGUCUAUUCAUGUCCAUCCUCGGAGUUAGUGUGUAUUACUUUAAUCGGUCGUGCAUGCAAUACUUCGUCAUUUACUGUGAGCAAAAUAGAGUGUUCAAAGCAGGCUUAUGCCGUUGAAUAUAUUAGCAUGGAAUAAUAAGAUAUGACUUUGGUCUAUUUUGUUGGUUUGCACUCCAAAGUAAUGAUUAAUAGGGAUAGUUGGGGGUAUUCGUAUUCAAUUGUCAGAGGUGAAAUUCUUGGAUUUAUGGAAGACGAACUACUGCGAAAGCAUUUACCAAGGACGUUUUCAUUA